rnacentral:lncRNA from 1 species
ACUUAUUGAGUUAGAGCCACAGGAUAUUGGCCCUUAUAUUCUGCUUUCAAAUAUGUAUGCUGCUCAAGGGAGAUGGGAUGACGUUGAACGAGUAAGAUUGAUGAUAAAAGAGAAGGGGUUACAGAAAGAAGCAGCGUCCAGCUUGGUUCAUCUCGAAGAUUUUGAAUCUAAAUAUUUUGCUAAGAAUAAUUCAGGGUAUAGGAAAAGGAUAAUGCACUCGAUGUUGAGUGAAUUAGGAACGCAGAUGAAAUUAUCCGUUGGACAAUCAAUUAAGGAAGACAGUUUCAUACCUAGGUAAAGAGCAGAGUCUCUAUUUCAAACACUAAUGAGAGAGAAACAAAGUGCGAGUUAAGAAAUGAGACAUGUUAUGGAUACCAAGGAAAAAGAUCCCAUAACACAUAAUAGCAGAUGGCACUAAAAACGACCGUGUUGCGGGAUGGAGAUUCUACGAUGGUUCAGAUUGGUCCCACCGAAGGUUUUGGGUCUCUGAAUUUUCUGGUGAAAGAUAAUUCAUUUAUUUGAUGAAGAAUGACAUGCUCCGUCUUUUGGAUAAUUAUAAAUUGUCAAUCC